AGUUCAGAAUAUCAUACAUUC
rnacentral:snRNA from 1 species